AGAUUUAUAGACUUUACCAAGUGUAUUUUAACAUAACUAAAUGUUUAAACUUUAGAUCUUUAUUUUAAACUUUACCAUUAUUUUAAGAAGUUUUUGCUAGGGUAAAUGUUUUCCAUAAGUUUUUUUUUUUUUUUUUUUUUUCUUUUAUAUAUCAGAUAAAGGGAUUACAUUUGUUCUCUGAGUUUUUAUAGAAGCCCCAUCGCUAUCACCAUCACUAUUUUGAUUUUUCCAAGAUGGCCGUUUUUGUUUCGCGAACGUUCUGCGAGGAGAGUUCGGCGACUUGCGUGACUUACGAACAGAACUGCCUAAUUGUACCUACAAUUGAGUAAAUUGUUUUAGAGGAGGGGAUGCCCAGUUUCAGCAGCUUCAAUGUGCGAGGAACACUCCAGCCCCCUCAACAAAGCUGGAGGUGCGGAUAGAGUUGAGAUUUUAACUGACUAAUGAAUGCUGCAUCGGAUGUUAUGCAGUAGUAAGUCAUGACAUUUUUGUAUUUAUGUCGUGCAUCGGCCGUAAAGCGAAACUUACGUUGCGUAGGUUACAUAGGACGUAACUAACUUUUAUUUUGGGUUCUGUUUGUCAUAGCUUUAAUUUUCAUAUUAGGUUACGUCGGACCAAACUUUAUUUUUCAUAUUGGGUACCUUAGAUGUAACUCGAAAUCUUGGGGUAAGGUUACGCUAGACACUGCGUUGAAAGAUGCACUUUUAUUUUUUUGAAAAGUAUUCUUCAACUUACGGCAGUGGCGAAUAGCACUUGUGUUGAUGAGAUGUUUUGAUUCCGCAUGUCCGGAAAGUUGCCGGGGCAGCUGUCGACUAUCUAUAUAGGACGGUAAUGUUGCAGGUACAAAAGUGAAUAAUACACCGUGUUGAAUAUUUAUUUAUUGGUCUUUUUCGGCAGUGCCGCUUGUGCCUGGACAAUGGAAGAUGAUGCAAAGGCCAAAAGAAAGCUACUCUGCAUCUGCACUCUGAAUAAUGUGAUGUCUCGGUAGCUACACAUGCUUUGUUAAAGGGAAGUUUAUUUCGCCACUUGCUAGGCAUCAUUGAGCAAGGUGAUCAUGCAGACGGCGACGCAAUGAAGCGUGGAAAUGGGCACCUAAGAGCUGCACUCUAAACCAGUUUUUCUCUGUUGCCGGUGCACAAGCAGGUAAUGUGCAUCCAACAUUCCACUGGAUCUGUCCAAAGGGCAGGCUGAUACUGCGGCAGACGCCACUGAGCGGACACACUGCAAAAAGGCGUCGGGCGUUUUCCGAAGUUUGUCAACUGACCUAGAUCUGAGAACGUUGGUACAUGUAUUGCUACCGUUGCCAAGCAGGACUGGAGAUUGUUAGAGUGUGAACAAUGUUCACACUUUGGUCAAUGCAAGCACAUCUUUUUUUUUUAGUAAUAUUGACUAACAAGAUUGCAGCAAUCAAACAAGUUAACACCGAAAUGUUAAAAGCAAUAAAGAAAUUAAAGCCCG